CAAUACUAUACCAGCUACUAGGAAGAAAAUGAACUCUAUCCCAGCCGAAACCAGGACAUAAGCUAGCAGUAGACCUAUUUUAACCAUUUGGUUAUUUCUGUCUUCCCACUGUUUACUGAAUCCGAUGGGCUUACAUCCUUUGUGUGAAGUUGUAUCUCCUCUUCAUAGCUCUUCGGAGCUCCCAGGAGCUUCAUAGCUCCAUAGGUCCUGGAAGACCAUUAUUAGCCUACAGGUGCUAAAUACUUAUAUUAUCACAUAAGAGCCAACUCCAAUAAUCUGUACUCAUCUAAAACUUUCUCCUACUAAUUGCCUAAACUGACUUUUACACUGAAACAAGAGGAGAAAAUUCUGUGGUUGCUGUCCUUUCCACAGCACGACAAAUACACAGCAAAACAGUAACAUGGAAGCAGAUAGCAAUAAUAUUCCUGAUAAAAGGGCACAGCAGUUGGCAAGGGGUCUGUGUGAAGGGAUGAUCCUUAUUUCUGUUUUUCAUAUAGCAGCUGCACUUUCCCUAGGGUGACCCAUACUCCCAUCAACCAGAACUUCUAACCUGGUGGAAGGCAGAACCUUCCCUCCUGAGAUCAUAAUUUGAUGCCUUUUUCUUCCCCUGCAGUCUGUCAUCCUGUAGCACUUGUGAUGUUGAAAGCUGGGGUAGGAAUUUUAACCGUCCCUGUAUGUGCAUUUAUGAACCAUGAAAAAAAUUAAAAUUGGCAUUUCUGUGCCAUUGGCUGGGGGCCACAAGUUGGCUGAAUCGUGUCCUCAUUUAUAACAGCAUCGGUGAAAGAAGCCAAUAUGAAAGCUCAUAAACUGUUUCCAUCCCCUUCUGAUAGUAGCUGAACAACAAAGAAAGAGCAACUGAUGUUCUCACAUUAAACAUUUUGUUCAAUAUUUAAACAUCAAGGCCUAAAUUUUUAACACGGUGCAGAAAGCUUCAGCUGUCUGCCUCCCAUGAAAGGUAAUAGGAGGCAUGGAGCUAAAUCCCGCCACACCACAUUUAAUAUUUAUCCCUAAAGGCUUCUUCUGCUGCCGAAGAGAUUUGAGCACAUUGCACUUGCUAAGGUUUUCAGAGGCAUUCCAAUAUCACCUAGCUGAUUAUGCUGUUUGCAAAGAGCAUAUUAACUUUCUGCCUUGCAGCGCACAUGGCGGGGGAAAAGCAAAACAGUUGUGCCAGGCUGCAGGCAAUGACAGAAGUUUGUAAGAUUUAAAGGAAAAUCAGAGAUUUUAGUUAAUCACUCCAGCCUAAAUAAUUUAAUAUACUAAUGCAACAGGACUAGAUCAAAGAUAAAAGAAGAACAAACAAAGCCCUUAUAUUUACUAUCCUGUAUUUUUAGAUCUUGGCUACAAAACAUGUUUCUAUUUAUGUUAUCCUUUAUUUAAGCUCCUCUUUGUGCCUGUGCAACUUCAGUGCUCAGAUUUUCAUCAAAUCUCUGAAGAGGCAAUGGCACACACUUGUUCAAUGCUAGAUCGUUUGAGGCAGUUUUACAACAUGCUCCUUGGUUCCCACUCUUGUCUGGGGAAAGUUGUGCCAGUUUUACAUUCAACAGAGCGUCCUUUUCCCUCUACACUUCCUGAACUGUGCAACUAACUUGGGGGAGGAAAAUCUCUACCCAUUGAUGUCCCCCAGACUGCUGGGAUAGAGAGAAAGAAGCCUGGUGCCCUCCGUGAGGGCUCUCCACCCUGUGAUGCAGUGGUGGGCAUGGACCAUCGGUUUGAGGAUGCAGAGGAGCACAGAGCAAGACGGAAGGAUUGCCCCAAAGUGCUUAGGGUUUAAGGGGGAGGUUAGGUGAGGAAGUUUGCUGUUGUACCAGUAUGAAGUCUGUGCGUUCUCCCACUUUUUCUUUUAGCUUACAGUUACACUGUGUGAGAAGUGUGGCUGUAGCACUGCAUGCUUCCCAUCCUGUGCUUUUCUUCCCCAAACUGCUGAGCGAAUAACCUUCAUGGUGAUGGGAUACUUACCUGGGAACACCUCAGGUGUAAGCUCGUAGCAUGGACUGUUUACAAGUCUGGUCUUGAAGCUGUAUUCAGCAGUGCAGGCGUAGCCUAUUUUCCUUGUAUUGUGAAAAAUCCCAUGUGAAGCCUUGUCUAGCUUUUCUCUUCUUGGAAGCAACUCAUCAGAGUUACCUUGAUUCAAACAAUUCUUGGCCUGUGCUGUUGAGACCAGUCCCAGAAGUAAUCAGAUGGCAUUUGCAGAUACUUGAAGAAACCUUUAUAGGGCUACAGCUGAUUAAUAAGAUGUAUCAAUUAAAACAGUAUACGGACUAUUAUCUGGUAACUAGCUGAGCUAGUGAUGUAACAAUUAAGAGAUUCCAGGAGUUACAGAUUUCCAUAAUCUGAUUUGGGUUAUCUGUGGUUUGUUAAAGGAUGAUUAAUGGAAACUCUGACACAGAGUUUAUAAUUCUGAUGAAUUUUCAGUAUAACAAUAUAAAAGUAACAAACACUAAGGCAUGUGAGAAAUUGAGAGAGGGCAUUUAGUGGAGCUACUUACCACACAAUAUUUAACCAGCAUAUUUCAGGGUAUAGUUACUUUUUUAUCAUUAUGCUUAUAAUUUUUAAGCCAUAUGAGGAAAUGAACAUAUGAUUCCUAUGUGACCCUAAAAAAGUUAGUAAUUUUAAAUGCAAGUAAAAGUUUUUCAUAAAUGUAUUAGUAAGUUCUCCUAUUGAAGUGUCCAAUCCACAAUGUCAGGGAAAUACUACAAUUGUAGUGCCAGACACAGGGUGUUUUUCCCAAAGAAGAGAGUCUGUGGGGCUUGUCCCCUAGUGCAGGGUGGCUACAUGAGCCUAAGGUGGGAAGAGGAGGGCUGAUCCCCCAGGCAGGUUCCAAGAGAAGACUUCCUUCCUUCCUGCUGACUGACUUACUCUCUCCACAGGUUGGUUAUGCUUCUGAGCCAGGUCAGCCUCUUCAUCUUUAGGUGGAGCCAAGAGAUCACUAAGACAUACCACUAAUCUUGCAGUUUGACUCCGUUAUGUAUAGAAUCUGAUAAAAUAAUAAUAUCAUUAUCUUCAGUGGCAAUGCUUGCAGCAAUGAAUCAAGAGGGGUAUGAGCUGUAGUCUGCUGCUAUGGCAAAGACUUGAUAUGAGAUCUAUCAAAUAAUGAAUAAAAAGCAGUGGGAAUCAGAUUAUACCUCUGCAGCUGCAAUUUUUCAAUCACUGCUCAUAACUGUGCAAUGCACUUUAUUGCAUUUUGCAUAUGGUCUUCCUUAUAUGCUCCCCUUAGCAACUGGCAGUAUGAAUAGGAUAGGGCCCUAUAUAUCCUACUGUGUUAGAGCUUUACUGAGAAUUUGCAGAUACAUUUGUGAUCUGUGAGAGCACUGCUUUGUGUUGGGACAGCACAAUGAACAGUACUCCUGCAAAACCUUUGAGGAACCUGCAUGAAGGCAGCAAAGGGUGUGCUGCUGUGGAGAGGAGCUAGCUGAAGCUGCAACACUUUUAUGGGUGAUGUUGCCAAACUUUCAUUGUUCUGCAGUUGCCUCCCUGCAAUGACCAAAGGCUGAGGAAUUACAAUAGCAGUGAAAGAAAAAACAAACCACACACAAGCUGCCUCUGAAAAAAUGCAUGUGUGAAACUGGAGACCAAAAUUCCCUGCUAAACUCAUUACUAGAUUAUUUAUCUGAAUUUUAAUUGCUGUGGUUGGCUUGAGGUUUUUGGCUCAGCCAUAUGCACUGAAGGUGGUUCACUGAACCCCCUCAAAAGUGCUCUGAGGAAGUUGUCACAUUAUAUUGCAAUUCCUCCUUUGCUCCUGUCUUGCUCUGCGCAGGAAACAGUCAUCUUCCUUUCUGGCAUGUGGCAUUUCACAGGAGUGGAAAAUCACUAUCAAGUGGAAAAAUGUGUUCUUUUUGAUCCCACAAGGCACAAAAAUGAUGAUACAAAGUGAGGUUCCUUCUGGUCUCAUAAAGUCAGAAUUGAAAGUAAUUUUAAAAGAUCUUAUAUAGUGAUAUGCAGCUAAAAUGUUCUUUUUCUCCAUUAAUUAUCAUUUAUUACUUUCACCUAAAAUCAAUCACACAACCAAUCAAUCACCCAUGAGAAUAAUGUCAUAAUUCCCUCCACAAGUUAAAAAGGUGUUACAUAGCUGAGGAAGUGCUCUGAAACAAAUCCACCAGAAACUGGAAGGAUAAUAGAAAUUUAGACAGAUGGUUACUCUUAAGCCACAUUUUAAUUUAUAAGGUAGUGAGCUCUGCAAACCAGAUGUGCUAUCCUUGUAAGACAGGUAAGCCAUCAAACACAAGGGAAGAAGCAGCCCUGACCUAUGAUGAAGGGCUAUUGACCAAAAGUAGAACAUCAGUCAGAGCUGGCAGCAAAGAUUAGGAAAACCUCUAGUUGCAAUAUCUUCUCUUAAGGCUGUUGAUUGGAGAUGUGGAAAAUUACAUUAGGGACACAAUGAACAAUUCAACCCUUAAGGGAAUAAGAAAACUGUAAAUUUGAAAGCUAAUUUAGUCAUAGCCCUGGUGAAAGCUCAUUCCUUGGGCUCUGUAACUAUCUCAUAAGAUUCACUGACCAUUUUAAACCAGAUUCAUUUAUUUUUAUUUGUUUUACAUGACUUGUUAACAAUAAAUCAUCAUAACUUUCAUCUACAGCAAUAAAAGUAGUACUCCUGCAAUCACCUGCUGGAAUUGUUAUCCAAUUUUAACUUUUUUUUUCACUGAAGGCAUUUACAAUGACUACAACAACCUGUUGUUAUUGCCACCAAGUGUAAACACUUAAGGUACUUGUCUGUCUGUCUCUAUAUCACUGGAGAAAAUUCACAAUAUUGCGCUGGAAGGACCUUGGUACUAAAAUAGGAGCAAGUGUAUCCAGACUGUCCGUGGCAGGCAGUACUGUAGGAGAGAACAGAGAAUGUGGGCAAGGCUGUGAUGGAUAUAAUGGCAGAAGAUAAGCUGUUGCUCUAGUGAGGGAUCAAACUUUGACCAUCUCAUGGGAAACACAUUUUUUGCCCAAGCAGGACUCAAAAACUCUCUGGAAGGAGGGUCCAUGGUAGGUAUCUUCUGCAGUUAUCUUUGUCCCAUGCUUCGCUAGCCAUGUUGUGGAAUGGUUUUUCUCAGAUCUAACCAUGUUUCCCACGCUGGAAAUUAAACUCAGGAUUUCGUGUGGGAUCAUGUGGAAAAUGGAAUUAGGAGCACUGUUAGCAAACAGCUGAUCACAAUUCCUUCUAGUAUCAACUCAUCUGCUCUUGUUCCUUCCCACUCCUUUCUGUUUUUUUUCUCCACUUCUGUUCCUUCAGCAUUGAUCUUUUCUUUUCAGGACUUACCAUAGUAAGUCCUGAAAAAAUAUUCUCAGAGGCCAUAUUUUGCAGAAUGUUUAUCUUUUUUGUUUCUCUCCUCUAGGCUUACACUGGCAUCCCUGAGCUCAGUUCUGUAACUCAUGCUUCAGUAAUGUGAAGACUAGAAGAGUGAUGAUGUCCCACAGCUUACACGCACUACACCUGUUCACGCUUCAUGGAAAGAAAUUUUAUUUUUUGGACAGCAGCAGCAAGCACUGCCCAGAUGUGGCUUCCAAAAUCUAUUUUUUCCAUGUUAUUGCUAAGCCCAUUGAUCUUUAUGUUGUAUUUGCUUAUUUUCUUUCUCCUUCAGAAAUGCAAUGUGACACUUCUGUUUAGUGAACUUCAGCUAACAAAAAAAGAUCACCUGUACUCUGUCCCUCAUCGAAAGUGCUUUUACAAGUGCAUGCCAUUACAGUAGCCAAGCUGUUAAUGAGAAUUCUGACUAGGACAGGGCAGAAGAUAUCCUUUUAAACCUCCACAUGAAAUGCUGUUUCAGCAUUAUAGCCAGCUAAUGAUGUGAAACUUUACAAGGCAGUUAUCAACAGAUUGUUCAGACACUUUAAGGUGGAUUAAUAGAGACUAUAUUCCAUUUGUUUAUGAGAAUGUCAUGUGAGAAAGUUUCAAAUAACUUCCUAAUUUUCACAUAUCACACUUAUGUGUGCUAUUCUUAGGUGCUAAUUCAGAUGACCAUCUACAUAGCUGGUAAAAGAGUCAAAACUGACAUUGUAAAAGGUCAGAGGGACCUUUCCAUAGGCCAGAGCUGCAGAAUAUGUAUUAGAGGCUGAUCCUGUGAGUAAGGCAACAUCUCGGGCCUCAGAAUCAUGAACACAAAGGAUUUGUAGUUGUCCUGGAUUUUGGAGUUCACAUAUAUUAAAAACUGUGAUGCAGCACAGUCCAACAGGAAGACCUGUUGUGAUACUCUCCUCUGAAAAUAGCAGGGUACUGAUGGGGAUCUUUGAAAACAGACCCUCAGGUGAGCU